rnacentral:lncRNA from 1 species
GUGUGAAGUGUAUGAUCGUCGCACAUUUUGGAAAUUAAAAUAGUGGUAGAUCCGUAAAUAUUUAAUUAUGAGUUGUGUUAAUGAUUAAAGCUUUUGCUGUGGUUUGAUGUUGAAUCUGUAAGAGCUUCCAGCAGGUUUCUUCUUUCUAAACCGGUGGUAAAGUAUUGUAAUACUCUGUUAAAUCUUUAUGUUAAUUUUGCGUAGUGUCAUAAAUUCAGCUAGGUGGUCUUGAUUUCUUAUUAGUGUUAUCAGCGGUUGUAGCGGUUUCUUCUUCUCUUGCUCCUUCUCUUCUUGGACAGUGCGGAAUCUUGAUCAUUUUCAGGAAAAGAUCGGGAAUCUUGGUAUUGGUCUGUGGUAUCAUCCAUGCUGUUGGUCGUAAGGUACAACGCAAGUGUGGCGGGGUGGAUCCUUGCGGAUGCAGGGGUUCACAGAAAAUAAAACAAUAAAAAUACGAGUGAACCAACACCUGAAGUGGUGAUCGUGCGGUAGGGUAAAAACGAGUGGAUACCGCUAGGUAUUCCCAGUCAUCUUGAAAAUAAAGAAUGUGUCGACAAUAAAGAC